UAAAAUAUCUUGCUGUUUAUAUGAUGGAACUGCCGUUUGGGAGUUUGAUAGAGGAAACUUUCUGCACACACCACGUGGAAUCACUGUUGACGACAAGGGAAAUGUUUUCGUUGUUGGACAGGACUCCUGUAAUUGCAUUGUCGUCUCGCCUGAUAGAAAACAGUACAAAGAAAUUCUAACCAGGAAAAGUGGUCUCAGUUCACCCAGUUCAAUUUUCUUUGACAGGAUAAAGAAACAACUUUUAG
rnacentral:lncRNA from 1 species